AAGAAACCGAUGAGAAAGAAGAGUAGUCAUUAGGAAGUUUCCCAGAGAGCUGCAGGUGGUGGGAUUGCAGCAAAUGGAAUUUUGAUGAAUGGGCUUUCGAGGCUGACCUGAAUCAAGUAGGAGUCAGCGGGAUGCACACCCGUUAUCAAGGUGACAUGUAUGAUAGUACAUGACAGAGUGGACACAUUGUCAAUUUGAGUGGUACCGCGAUAAUACUUAGUUUAUUACCGUCUCAAGC
rnacentral:ncRNA from 1 species